rnacentral:rRNA from 1 species
AUGAAGAUCGACAUUCAAACAACCGAAAAUUCCGAUAUGCAGACAUUCAAAAUAUAUAUCCUUUACUGGAUAGGCCCUAAAUUAUCGGUGGGAAAAUAUUCUAAUGUACAUUGUGGUCAAAAUAGAGAAGAAUGUGAUACCAUGGAAUGUGGACUUACUUCUUUUCAGCCCCUCGUGCAUGGGCAGAAAUUAAGGAAUCAUCAACCUAUUUCACUAGACCUCCGUCCAGGCCGCCAUCCCGUCCAUAAGCACGCAGCCCCAGCGUCGGCUCCUUCCCAGGCCUCCUUAUGGAGAGAGAGGAGAGGACGGGCGGCAGGGGAUGGACACCACAGGACAAGGAUGUGGAUAAGGGAGGCACGCAUCCAGGAGAAGAGCUCAGGACGAUGA